rnacentral:rRNA from 1 species
UACGUAGGGGGCUAGCGUUGUCCGGAAUCAUUGGGCGUAAAGCGCGUGUAGGCGGCCCGAUAAGUCCGCUGUGAAAGUCCAGGGCUCAACCCUGGGAUGCCGGUGGAUACUGUCGGGCUCGAGUCCGGAAGAGGCGAGUGGAAUUCCUGGUGUAGCGGCGAAAUGCGCAGAUAUCAGGAGGAACACCAAUGGCGAAGGCAGCUCGCUGGGACGUGACUGACGCUGAGACGCGAAAGCGUGGGGAGCAAACAGG